AUAAUACUCCCUCCAUUCUGAAUUACUUGUCACACAAAUGAAUGAAAAUAGAUGUAUGUAGAACUAAAAUACAUCUAGAUACGUCCAUUUCUCCGACAAAUAUUUUCGAAUGGAUGGAGUAGUUG
rfam:Triticum aestivum genome assembly, contig: Triticum_aestivum_CS42_TGACv1_scaffold_471158_6AL